rnacentral:lncRNA from 1 species
CGAGUGGGUUUUUGGAACGAUUGGUGAGUCGGGUUCCCCGUCUUUACCACGGCAAACGGAUGAGAUUCCCCAUCUCCACCAUGGCAAUGGUGAAGUCAUUGAAUAAAAAUGGAGGAUAGCUCUGGUCAUCGAUAGGGGCUAAGUUGCUGUCGCCAUCAGCUAAUGGGCGCCCGUGUCGAUGUUGGUGUCAUUGUAGAUGUGAUCAC